rnacentral:rRNA from 1 species
AACUAACGCUGGCGGCGUGCCUAACACAUGCAAGUCGAACGAGAAAGUUGGCUUCGGCCGAUGAGUAAAGUGGCGCACGGGUGAGUAACGCGUGGAUAAUCUGCCCUUUAGUUUGGAAUAACGUACCGAAAGGUGCGCUAAUACCGGAUAAUACUGAAUGACUACUGUCGUUUAGUCAAAGAAGGCUUCUGUUUACAUGCUUUUGCUGAAGGAUGAGUCCGCGUACCAUUAGCUAGUUGGUAGGGUAAUGGCCUACCAAGGCGACGAUGGUUAGCUGGUCUGAGAGGAUGAUCAGCCACACUGGAACUGAGACACGGUCCAGACUCCUACGGGAGGCAGCAGUGAGGAAUAUUGCGCAAUGGGGGCAACCCUGACGCAGCGACGCCGCGUGAAGGAUGAAGGCCUUCGGGUUGGUAAACUUCUUUGUAUGAGGGACGGAAUAAAUAGACGGUACCUCAAAACAAGACCACGGCUAACUACGUGCCAGCAGACCGCGGUAAACGAUA